UGGAGGGGCUGUCCCCUGGAGAGAGCAUGUCAACCGCGGUAUGAGGCCAGUCAUUGGUUCAGUGUGAGGCAGUGAGUGAGGGAAUCUUUCUGCAACCUGGACAUUCCCGCCAUCAACGUGGAGCUGGACGGCAUUCUGGAGGUGGCGUACGGCGCCCUCCACAGGCACUCUGUGGUCAUGGCGGCCGUGGCGCUGGAGGCCUCGGGCAGGGCGGAGCCAGAGGAGGACUCAGAGAGCACGGCAUUAUGACAUCACGACACCCUCACCCAAUCCCAGACCACCUCCACUGCAACCUCAUACACCAACACCCCCUCCACCACUCCUGGAUGCUAUACACCCAACCCAUGUUCUCCACCUGCACAGGAUUGGAUCGCAUCAUCUACUGCAACUACGGAGGCCUGUAGUGCCCAAAAUAGCCCUUCAUACUAGCUUUCCCUACAGACUACGACAUGACAUUGUCAAUAAACAGUAUAUAAGAUCAAUAUGAAAACAGUGUACAGAAACCAGAAGUACCACUGGCAGAACACAACCGUGAUGC